UACGAAGGGGGCUAGCGUUGCUCGGAAUCACUGGGCGUAAAGCGCACGUAGGCGGAUUGCUAAGUCAGGGGUGAAAUCCUGGAGCUCAACUCCAGAACUGCCUUUGAUACUGGCGACCUUGAGUCCGGGAGAGGUGAGUGGAACUGCGAGUGUAGAGGUGAAAUUCGUAGAUAUUCGCAAGAACACCAGUGGCGAAGGCGGCUCACUACACGAAUAUUGACACUGAGGCACGAAAGCGUGGGGAUCAAACAGG
rnacentral:rRNA from 1 species